rnacentral:rRNA from 1 species
GACGAACGCUGGCGGCGUGCUUAACACAUGCAAGUCGAACGGAAAGGCCCUGCUCUUGUGGUGUGCUCGAGUGGCGAACGGGUGAGUAACACGUGAGUAACCUGCCCUUGACUUUGGGAUAACUUCAGGAAACUGGGGCUAAUACCGGAUAGGAGCUCCUGCUGCAUGGUGGGGUUUGGAAAGUUUCGGCGGUUGGGGAUGGACUCGCGUCUUAUCAGCUUGUUGGUGGGGUAGUGGCUUACCAAGGCUUUGACGGGUAGCCGGCCUGAGAGGGUGACCGGCCACAUUGGGACUGGGAUACGGCCCAGACUCCUACGGGAGGAAGCAGUGGGGAAUAUUGCACAAUGGGCGGAAGCCUGAGGAAGCAACGCCGCGUGCGGGAUGACGGCCUUCGGGUUGUAAACGGCUUUCGCCUGUGACGAAGCGUGAGUGACGGUAAUGGGUAAAGAAGCACCGGCUAACUACGUG